CUCGUGUCGUGAGAUGUUGGGUUAAGUCCCGCAACGAGCGCAACCCCUAUUGUUAGUUGCCAUCAUUGAGUUGGGCACUCUAGCGAGACUGCCGGUAAUAAACCGGAGGAAGGUGGGGAUGACGUCAAAUCAUCAUGCCCCUUAUGACCUGGGCUACACACGUGCUACAAUGGCUGGUACAACGAGUCGCAAGCCGGUGACGGCAAGCUAAUCUCUGAAAGCCAGUCUCAGUUCGGAUUGUAGGCUGCAACUCGCCUACAUGAAGUCGGAAUCGCUAGUAAUCGCGGAUCAGCACGCCGCGGUGAAUACGUUCCCGGGCCUUGUACACACCGCCCGUCACACCACGAG
rnacentral:rRNA from 1 species